rnacentral:rRNA from 1 species
AUUGAACGCUGGCGGCAUGCCUUACACAUGCAAGUCGAACGGUAACAGGUUAAGCUGACGAGUGGCGAACGGGUGAGUAAUAUAUCGGAACGUGCCCAGUCGUGGGGGAUAACUGCUCGAAAGAGCAGCUAAUACCGCAUACGACCUGAGGGUGAAAGCGGGGGAUCGCAAGACCUCGCGCGAUUGGAGCGGCCGAUAUCAGAUUAGGUAGUUGGUGGGGUAAAGGCUCACCAAGCCAACGAUCUGUAGCUGGUCUGAGAGGACGACCAGCCACACUGGGACUGAGACACGGCCCAGACUCCUACGGGAGGCAGCAGUGGGGAAUUUUGGACAAUGGACGCAAGUCUGAUCCAGCCAUGCCGCGUGCGGGAAGAAGGCCUUCGGGUUGUAAACCGCUUUUGUCAGGGAAGAAAAGGUUCUGGUUAAUACCUGGGACUCAUGACGGUACCUGAAGAAUAAGCACCGGCUAACUACGUG